AUGGCCAAGGAGAGAACACAGUGUGGUCGCACACAGCAGGAACAAAAGAGUGAUGUAAGGAGAGGCUGGCAUGGAAAGGCACUGAGCAAGGGGGCUGAAAUGAUGACAUUCACAUGUUCUAAAGCUCAUUCUGGCUGUAGUGUGGAGGACGGAUUGGAAGGAAGCCAGGAUGAUGUUGGGAGACGACUAAGAAGCAGUUUUAAUAGCCUGACAGCUUCCCUUCCAACCUGUCACAAGCCUAGCGAAGAAAAUAGCUGUGCUGGACGCCCCGCUGCCAACACCAAGAUCGGCCCCCGCCGCAUACACACAGUCCAAGUCCGGGGAGGCAAUAAGAAAUACCGUGCCUUGAGGCUAGACGUGGGGAACUUCUCCUGGGGCUCUGAGUGUUGUACGCGCAAAACGAGGAUUAUUGACGUUGUCUACAAUGCAUCCAACAACGAACUGGUCCGCACCAAGACCCUGGUGAAGAACUGUAUUGUGUUCAUUGACAGCACACCUUACCGACAGUGGUACGAGUCCCACUGUGCACUGCCCCUGGGCCGCAAGAAGGGGGCCAAGCUGACGCCUGAGGAGGAAGAGAUUUUAAACAAAAAACGAUCAAAGAAAAUUCAGAAGAAGUAUGAUGAAAGGAAAAAGAAUGCCAAAAUCAGCAGUUUUCUGGAGGAGCAAUUCCAGCAGGGCAAGCUUCUUGCAUGCAUCGCUUCACGACCAGGCCAGUGUGGCCGAGCAGAUGGCUACAUCCUAGAGGGCAAGGAGCUAGAGUUCUAUCUGAGGAAAAUCAAAGCCCGGAAAGGCAAAUAAAUCUUCCUCCCUCCUUCGGUCAUGUAAUAAAGGUGUUUAUUGU